GACGAACGCUGGCGGCGUGCUUAACACAUGCAAGUCGAACGCUGAAGCUUGGUGCUUGCACUGGGUGGAUGAGUGGCGAACGGGUGAGUAAUACGUGAGUAACCUGCCCUUGACUCUGGGAUAAGCCUGGGAAACUGGGUCUAAUACUGGAUACGACAUGCCACUGCAUGGUGGUGUGUGGAAAGGGUUUUACUGGUUUUGGAUGGGCUCACGGCCUAUCAGCUUGUUGGUGGGGUAAUGGCCUACCAAGGCGACGACGGGUAGCCGGCCUGAGAGGGUGACCGGCCACACUGGGACUGAGACACGGCCCAGACUCCUACGGGUGGCAGCAGUGGGGAAUAUUGCACAAUGGGCGGAAGCCUGAUGCAGCGACGCCGCGUGAGGGAUGACGGCCUUCGGGUUGUAAACCUCUUUCAGCACGGAAGAAGCGAGAGUGACGGUACGUGCAGAAGAAGCGCCGGCUAACUACGUG
rnacentral:rRNA from 1 species